rnacentral:rRNA from 1 species
AUACGUAGGGUGCGAGCGUUGUCCGGAAUUACUGGGCGUAAAGAGCUCGUAGGUGGUUUGUCGCGUCGUCUGUGAAAUUCCGGGGCUUAACUCCGGGCGUGCAGGCGAUACGGGCAUAACUUGAGUACUGUAGGGGAGACUGGAAUUCCUGGUGUAGCGGUGAAAUGCGCAGAUAUCAGGAGGAACACCGGUGGCGAAGGCGGGUCUCUGGGCAGUAACUGACGCUGAGGAGCGAAAGCAUGGGUAGCGAACAGGAUUAGAUACCCUGGUGGUCCAUGCCGUAAACGGUGGGCGCUAGGUGUAGGGGUCUUCCACGACUUCUGUGCCGUAGCUAACGCAUUAAGCGCCCCGCCUGGGGAGUACGGCCGCAAGGCUAAAACUUAAAGGAAUUGACGGGG